CUACGGGCUGCUGCAGUGAGGAAUAUUGCACAAUGGGGGGAACCCUGAUGCAGCAACGCCGCGUGGAGGAUGACGCAUUUCGGUGUGUAAACUCCUUUUAUAUGUCAAGAAAAUGACGGUAGCAUAUGAAUAAGCACCGGCUAACUCCGUGCCAGCAGCCGCGGUAAUACGGAGGGUGCAAGCGUUACUCGGAAUCACUGGGCGUAAAGGACGCGUAGGCGGGUUGGAAAGUCAGGUGUGAAAUCCUACAGCUUAACUGUAGAACUGCACUUGAAACUGGUAACCUAGAGUAUGGGAGGGGGAGAUGGAAUUAGUGGUGUAGGGGUAAAAUCCGUAGAUAUCACUAGGAAUACCUAAAGCGAAGGCGAUCUCCUGGAACAUAACUGACGCUAAGGCGUGAAAGCGUGGGGAGCAAACAGGAUUAGAUACCCCGGUAGUC
rnacentral:rRNA from 1 species